rnacentral:rRNA from 1 species
GAUGAACGCUGGCGGCGCGCCUAACACAUGCAAGUCGAACGAUUAAACCGCCCUUGGGCGGAUAUACAGUGGCGAACGGGUGAGUAACGCGUGACCAACCUUCCCCCCGCAUCGGGACAACCCGGGGAAACCCGGGCUAAUACCGGAUAUGCCGGGUAUGGCGCAUGUCAUACCCAGGAAAGCUUUUGCGGCGGGGGAUGGGGUCGCGUCCCAUCAGGUAGACGGCGGGGUAGUAGCCCACCGUGCCAACGACGGGUAGCCGAGUUGAGAGACCGACCGGCCACAUUGGGACUGAGAUACGGCCCAGACUCCUACGGGAGGCAGCAGUGGGGAAUCUUGCGCAAUGGGGGAAACCCUGACGCAGCGACGCCGCGUGCGGGAUGGAGGCCUUCGGGCCGUGAACCGCUUUCAGCAGGGAAGACAUUAAGGACGGUACCUGCAGAAGAA